rnacentral:lncRNA from 1 species
GGCACCCAAAGGUCCUCUUGGUUCUCAUGAGCUGCAGGGUGCCCCAUGGGAACCGUUGAGCAGCUAGGGGUGCAGGAUGGCACCAUGGGCACCCAAAGGUCCUCCUGGUUCUCAUGAGCUGCAGGGUGCCACAAGGGCACCGCUGAGCACCGAGGGGCACAGGAUGGCACCAUGGGCACCCAAGGGCACUGCUCAGCACCAAGGGGUGCAGGAUGGUGCCCCAAGCACCCAAAGGUGCUCCCGUUUCCCAUGGGCUGAAGGAUGCCUCAAGAGCACCAUUGAACACCAAGAGGUGCAGGAUGCCCCAUGGGCACCCAAAGGUGCUCCCGGUUCCCAUGAGCUGCAGGAUGCUCCAAGGGCACCGUUGAGCACCAAGGGAUGCAGGAUGGCAUCAGGGGCACCCAAAGGUGCUCCUGGUUCCCACAGGCUGAAGGAUGCCUCAAGGGGACCGUUGAGCACCAAGGGGUGCAGGAUGGCAUCAGGGGCACCCAAGGGCAUCGUUGAGCACCGAGGGGCGCAGGAUGGCACCGGGAGGUGGUGGCGGUGGUGGGUGGUGGCAGACGGGACCCCCACCCACCUCUCUAGUCGCCGGGCUCGGGGCGGGCAGCGCGAGGCACGAGGCAGACGGCGCCGUCGGGCGCCAGGCGCAAAGCGAAGCUCUCGGGGGGCAGCGGGUUGCCGGCGGCGUCGCGCAAGGCGCCCAACACCUGCCGCGAGAGGCGCCCCAAAUCGCGGCGCAGAGCACCCAGCGCCCGUUCGGCCAAGCCGCGGUCGCGCAGCAGGCGCUCGCGCUCGCGCCCCAGGCGGCUCAGCUCGCCCUGGAGGCGGGCGAUGGUCUCGAGCUUGCGGCGGCGGCAGUUCUGCGCCGCCACCUUGUUCUUGCCGCGCCGGCGGAUGUCGCGCACCAGCGCCAGCUGCGGCUCCGACAGCGGGUAACGGCCCACCAGGGCGUUGAAGUCCUCCACGGGCAGGUUGACGAUCUUCUCCGUAGGGAUGGGGAUGCGCAG